UUUUUCUCCUCUAGUGAGUUUUUCUGGGAGGUUUUCCUUGUCUUCCUUGAGGGUUGAGUUUGGCUGAGGGGCAGUUAUAUAUGGGCGUACGUGAAUCCCUCUGUGACAUUGCUUAUAAAAAGGGCUAUACAAAUACUGUAAAUUAGAUUUGAAAAUAAUACAGUAACCAUCACAACUUGGUACUGUCAACAAAGAACAAAGAAAAAACGGGGAAAAACAACCUUUUGGUGUGCUGGAUCCAGCCUUGAAAACACUCCACACCUAUGUGUGACUAUUUUAUAGUCCUCAUGCACGCGCUUAACUCUGAGUGGACGUACUCCGAGUUGAUUGAAAUAAUUCAAAUAUGAAAUCAUCAGCUUGUUCUGGAACCAAAAAGUCUGAGUUGCCCAUCUUAGGGUAAAUCAUCUCAGAGUUCUGGGCUCUGAGUUUGUUGAACCUGCUUUCUGGAAUAUACCCCAGGGUCUUAAUAUAUUGAAUACAAUAUAUUUCGAGUUACCAAAUGAGAAAUAAUUGAAUAUUUUUUGAAAGUUUGUUUGAAAGCUAGAUACUGUAACCCAAGUUUGCUUCCAAAUUUUAACGUCUUGCAUUUGUAAACUCCCCAAAUAUUUUCAACUACAAGUUGUUGUAUUUCUGCAUGUGUGUGUGUGGGCACACUCAUUAGAGUACAUUAAGGAGAGAUGCAAGAAACUAAGCAAUACUCAUUCAGUUUAUAAUGUAGUAGUAUAUUUUUUAAAUAAUCAAAUUUUUUGAAUUAUUUAUAGUUAGUUUCUCUCUCUCAUUUUGUCAGUUAUACUGUUUAGUUUGUUUUUAAGAAGAUGGCCAAUCAUUUAUACGGCUCAAAUGUCCAGUUUAAAUAUAAGACACAACAAAAGAAACAAACAGGCAUUGAGUGCGAACUUGUUACCUGAAGAUGUUGUUGCUUUGCCUCUUCAACUUUUACCCAUAUUAUUAAUUCUCUACUGUCUCAGAUAAGGAUAUUGACCUGCAGAUAGGCUGUUUAUAAAACCUAAUUGAUGAAGCCUUGCAUGUCUUUUCUAUAGAACCCGUGCAGAAACACCAUAUCCUAUGAAAAAUAAAUGGUUGACCAUAAACAGUAUAUACAUUACAUUCACAUUGUACAUUUUGUCCUAUAUUUUAAAUAAGAGAAAGCAGAGACAUAAGUAAGGUCUUUAUAGUCAGUGUAUUUGAACCGACUUGCUGCAAUAGAUUUGUGCCCUAUGCUACUCAGCUUGUUUGUGUGGAUGUAAUGCGUCUAUACAGAAUGUCAUCCUUUAGGACUGUUGACUAUGUUUGGGAUUUGUGAUGCUAACAAAAUGGCUAUGCUUAUUAUAUACCUAGUGAAAAAUAAUACAGUACUGUACCCAAAGUAGUCGUUUUUCAAAUCUAAUAUAAAUGUGCUAUUGUUGUACAGUAUAGUGAUAAAAUCCAAUGCCAUAUGUAUUUUGUGUCAUCUUUGUUUUAAUUUUUUUUACUUGUAUAAUACCCAUUUUAAUCAAAUGUAAUACAACCAUUUAUAGCUUGUCUCUGUAUUAUAAAGUUAUUCUUAAUUAUUAGGGUUCUUCCGGUAAGAGGAAACCUAAUGUUUUUGUUAGUAUUCCUAUUAUUAGGGUUACUCCGCAAGGAGGAAACCCAUUGUUAUUGUUAGUAUUAUUAGGAUUCCUCCGACAGGAGGAAACCUGUCAGAAAAGUUAAAGAUUUUAUUCUGUAUAAAAUGAUACUGUGUUCAACAUUCCAUGUCAGCAGUAAAGACAGCCCCCCAAACUAAGUCUAAGCUUUUCUUAUUACCCUGGGAGAAGGGUGAGCAUAUGUUACUGACAGACUAGAAGACGCUGGGGUUUGUUUGUUUUAAAGGAGAUGGUCUGGUCUGAUGACCAUUUGCUUGAGAAGGAACUUUUACGACUCCAGGACCGAAGAUUCUGCUAUUUUGUUUCAACCAGUCGUAAACACGAACACACAUACACUGCGCGCAAGAUCUAUGCAAGGGAGACAACCAAUGAAAGAAGAGCCAUGUGACAGUUGCAUGCCUGUGUGUGAACCAAUGACUGUGGACAACAGUUUAGUUUAAAUGAUUUAGCUAGCACAACAUGCUAGCAGACAACUUUGUACCACCAUGGCGUUUAGGUCUUUUGUCUCCUUGCUGCCGGCCGCAAGCAAUAAACUUUGUUAACUUCUUCACAUACUGACUGUACAAUACUUGAUAAAGAUUAAUAUUUCAAAUAACUUGGUCCUUCAUGCCGGAUCUUUACAUCAUUUUCAUCAUCCCAGACCAGGAACUGAAAUAUUGCACGAGGGAGAUUGGAUCUCUCAAAAAAGACCUGGCAGCCUAAAUUGCCGUUCAGGCCAGUUUCCCCUGGGAUGAUGGAAAUGUGACAAGAUCCUUGAAACCAGUGGCACAACUUUCGAUGGACAAGGUAAGAACAAGACUAGUCAAUAUUCAUGGUCUAUGAGGACUAAGUGCAGUUAAGUCGACAAGGACUAAUCACUGACAUAUUAUUUGCUAAGAAAUGGUGCUGGGGUUCCGGGUAACAGUGUUUAGUAAUUUUAGAAGUUCUGUAAGAAGACCAAUUAAGUAAACAUAAACUUGACAAGGAUUAAUAUUCAACGUGAAUUGUAUAAUUGGAAAUAUCGCAAUUCUAUUGUGAAUUAAAUCAUGGGUAAUUGUUAUGCGAGGCACGAACCAAGACGAGAUCCAGAACCUAGACGAGAUCGAGAACCUAGACCCGAUGUUCCCCCAUAUCAACCUCCAAUCUAUGAUAAUGGGAGCCACUUUGUGAACCUCAGUGACAUGCAGCAAUCAGCAGCUAUGUUGAAUGAAAGCCCUUAUGAACAACCACUUCGUUUUUUGAGAGUUGCCUCCCUCAGACUAGCGGGGUUUUACCUAACCAUAUGGUAUGUCAUUGUACUUCCCGUUCAAAUGAAAUUCAAGAAUAUGCUUGUCAUGCUGAAAAACAUUUCCAACUAAAGAAGAAGGCAAAAACCAGAACAGCAGUGUUUUCAUUAGAUGGGCAUGUUUAUAUUUAUUUGACCUUUGACAGUAACGCAGUCAGAGGAUGAGGAAGAGCCAGGGGGAGAACAAAUAUGGGAAAUAGAACAGAAGGAUGCUAUGUGGGACAAUAUGCUAGAGAUUGCAGACAAAGGAAGCAGAACUUCUCACAAGGAGAAGAGGGGACUAAAUGGGUAGAGGAGAAGAAAAUCAGAAGGCAGACAAGGUUCUAGUUUGUAUUUGCCAGUCUGAUGUCUGUUGAACAAUGUCUGCUAUAAUUGCUAGAAGGAUAGCUUUGGGAUCAGAGAGGAAAGAUCCAGGUUGCGAGCUUUGUUAGCUAAAUCAGCUAAAAGCUGCAGCUAACUAUUCUCCGGUAAACACCAUACUGGAAAACACGAGGAGGAAGUGCAUUCUGCUCUCUCCCGAGACAAAGAAGGGCCCUGGGCCCGUAUCCUUAAAGAUUCUGAGAAUCCUCUCAGAGAGCUCCUAACUUAACCUAAAAAUUCCUUGCCAGGAGUUUUAGCUUAGAAGUGAUUCAAGAACAUUUUCAGUUAACUCUGAGCCAGGAAUGGAUGGAAAAUCCUAUCUUAGUGAGGAGGUGUGGUUGACCCCGUUGCUAGGUAUGAGUCAUCAUUUCAAAAGCCGUGAUUGGUUGAUCCUACAAGUUUGAUGAAAAUGAACUUUUGGUGAUAAUGAGCAAAGGAUGUACCCUCAAAUCAAUAAACAUAAUUAUACACUCUAAUCUUAUGCAGACUAUAAUUGUAAAUUAUAUUUUACAUUCAAGAAAAUAUCUGGAAAAUGAAUAGUAAACUGUAGGGGUUAUAGCCUAACAUUAGAAUCAAAAAUAUGUGAAAACUUAAGCUCAUUACACCCUGUUCAAAUAAUUAUUUGUGUCUUAUUUGCUCAUAUUAAUAUCCUAGCUGGCAUAUUUUGUACUUUCACUUCCAUAUGGACCCCAUUGAAAACAAGAUGGCCUAUCUCAAGGGGCUGUCCUUAAUGAAGUAGAAAUUGCCACGUCACAACUCAGUGUGGUCUUCACGAGGAAAAUUGAGAAAAAAAGGAAUCGCAAGCCGAAGUGGACUGAGGAACAAGGUUUGUUGCUGGCCCAGUUGGUGAACGAACAUAAAGGUAUGUUACGAGGAAAAUUUGGCCCAACUGUCACUAGCCAAGGCAAGAGGCGCGCCUGGGACACAAUAUCCCAAACAAUCAAUGCCUCUUUUCCCCUGGUGGUGCGGACAGGCGACGAUUGUGAGAAAAGGUGGUAUGUGCUGCAGUCCAAGGCAAAAAAUGAGAUUGCAGCACACAAGCGGGAAUCCUCACUCACAGGUGAGCAAAAUACUAUGGCCUACCACAUAAUCUGGCAACUUGCUCCUGCUGGCAAAGUUAAUUUACAUACCUAAGUACUGUGUUAAUUGACUGUUUCUUUCUAGGGGGUGGACCACCUGCAAAGCGGCUGUCCCAGGUGGCCGACACUGUCUUUAAAGUCCUGGGACACUCUGAGGUCAGUGUCACCGGGCUGCCAACAGGCAUUGACACGUCAAUGAUGCAGGCCCUUGAAAUGCAGCAAAGCAUGGAGCCAUCACAAGAACCGGGCCCAUCAAGUUUGCCGACAAGAUUACCGCCUGAACCAUCUGCAGCUGCUACUCAGGAUACCCUUACAGAAGGAAAAUAUAUUGCAGUGUAUUGGAAAAUAUCAUGUGAUAUAUAAGGCAAU